rnacentral:rRNA from 1 species
UACAGAGGAGCCAAGCGUUGUCCGGAUUGACUGGGCGUAAAGCGCACGCAGGCGGCACCGUGCGUGGGGUGUGAAAUCUGGCCGCUUAACGGCCAGGCGCCAUCCCAUACGGCGGAGCUGGAGUGAUGCAGAGGUCGAUGGAAUUGCCGGUGUAGUGGUGAAAUUCGUAGAUAUCGGGAGGAACACCAGUGGCGAAGGCGGCUCUCUGGGCAAUGACCGACGCUGAGGCGCGAAGGCGUGGGAAGCAAACAGG